GACGAACGCGUGGCGGCGUGCCUAACACAUGCAAGUCGAGCGGAGGACAUGUUAGCGGAAGUUUUCGGAUGGAAGCGAUAUGUUUUAGCGGCGGACGGGUGAGUAACGCGUGAGUAACCUGCCUUCAAGAGGGGAAUAACGUUCUGAAAAGAACGCUAAUACCGCAUAACAUACGGAUGUCGCAUGGCAACCGUAUCAAAGAUUUUAUCGCUUGAAGAUGGACUCGCGUCCGAUUAGCCAGUUGGCGGGGUAACGGCCCACCAAAGCGACGAUCGGUAGCCGGACUGAGAGGUUGAACGGCCACAUUGGGACUGAGACACGGCCCAG
rnacentral:rRNA from 1 species